GAUGAACGCUGGCGGCUUUCCUAAUACAUGCAAGUCGAGCGAACGGACGAGAAGCUUGCUUCUCUGAUGUUAGCGGCGGACGGGUGAGUAACACGUGGAUAACCUACCUAUAAGACUGGGAUAACUUCGGGAAACCGGAGCUAAUACCGGAUAAUAUUUUGAACCGCAUGGUUCAAAAGUGAAAGACGGUCUUGCUGUCACUUAUAGAUGGAUCCGCGCUGCAUUAGCUAGUUGGUAAGGUAACGGCUUACCAAGGCAACGAUGCAUAGCCGACCUGAGAGGGUGAUAGGCCACACUGGAACUGAGACACGGUCCAGACUCCUACGGGAGGCAGCAGUAGGGAAUCUUCCGCAAUGGGCGAAAGCCUGACGGAGCAACGCCGCGUGAGUGAUGAAGGUCUUCGGAUCGUAAAACGCGGGUAUUAGGGAAGAACAUAUGUGUAAGUAACUGUGCACAUCUUGACGGUACCUAAUCAGAAAGCCACGGCUAACUACGGG
rnacentral:rRNA from 1 species